rnacentral:lncRNA from 1 species
AUGGCUACCACCAUCAUGUACCAUGGAGUUGGGCUUCAUGGUUGCAGGGCUGGGGGAGGAGUCAGCUGCCCCAGUCGGCCUGGGCAGCUGCCACUGUGGGCCCUGUUCCUGCUGAGCAGUGACCGGAAGCUCACAAAUGUGCGCCCCUGCACCAGCAUCCAGCAAAUGGAGACAUCCAGGCUGCUGGCUUCUCCCUUAGGCGCUGCCCAGACAGGGAUGUCACUUGUCCUCAGCACCUGCUCUGUGGCCCCUGGGACUGCCCCUGCUGCGGCACCUGCCACCAUGGUCGGGCUGUGUGUUUGACUGGCCCGUCUCCCUGCUCUGCGAGGAUGGGGAGGCUCUCGGAAUAGUUUGAGGGCUGGUCAGUGCUGCCCUGGUAGGGGCUAUAUGGAAAGACAGGUGCCACUGGGACAUGGGAUUGCCACCACAAGCCUCCAGCAAGGCGCUGACACGAAGCUGGCUCGCACCCCCCUCCCUCCUACCCUCCCUCCCACAUGGUCUCUUGCCACUUGCUCGCUGCCUGCCAUCCAACAAGUGGUACAGGGGCCCAAGGACUUGGGCCAUCUUCUACUGCUUUCCCAGACCAUAGCAGAGAGCUGGAUCAGA